rnacentral:rRNA from 1 species
GGUGAGUCGGGUCCUAAGGCGAGGCCGACAGGCGUAGUCGAAUGGAUGAACGGGUGGAUAUUCCCGUACCGACCAUGGACCGGCAAAACCGAGACGGUGAGUACUAACCUCCGCCUCGUGGUGGUUCCUUCCUUCGGGUUGGUAUCGCCGCGUGGUGUUGGGAGCGUAGCCGCAGUAGGUCAGCGCAGGGGUGACACGGAAUGGGAGCCGGCCGCGGAGGUGGUUUUCCGUGGUCAAGCACGCAGCCAGUCAUGUAGGCAAAUCCGCAUGGCAUGCAUGGCGAGGUGUGAUGAUGGGAGCCGUUAUGGCUCGAUAUCCGGUUGUCCAGGCCGUCGAGAAAAGCCUCGGCGUGAGGGCCAUGGCCGCCCGUACCCCAAACCGACACUGGUGGUCAGGUAGAGAAUACCAAGGCGAUCGAGCGAAUCCUGGUCAAGGAACUCGGCAAAUCACUCCCGUGCCUUCGGUAUAAGGGAGACCCGCUGGGGUGAACCGGCUAGCCCGGGGAGCUUUGGUGGGUGGCACAGACCAGGGGGUAGCGACUGUUUACCAAAAACACAGGUGCAUGCGAAGGCGAAAGCCGCUGUAUAUGCACUGACGCCUGCCCGGUGCCGGAAGGUUAAGAGGAUCCGUCAACUCUUCGGAGCGAAGCGGUGAAUUCAAGCCCCGGUAAACGGCGGUGGUAACUAUAACCAUCCUAAGGUAGCGAAAUUCCUUGUCGGGUAAGUUCCGACCUGCACGAAUGGCGUAACGACUUCCCCACUGUCUCGACCAGGAGCUCGGCGAAAUUGCAGUACGAGUAAAGAUGCUCGUUAAGCGCAGAAGGACGAAAAGACCCCGGGACCUUUACUAUACCUUGGUAUUGGCGUUAGGCGCGGAUUGUGUAGCAUAGGCGGGAGGCUUCGAAGCGGGUGCGCCAGCAUUCGUGGAGCCGCAAGGUGAAAUACCGCUCUGUUCUCGUUUGACGUCUAACCUCGACAAGUCAUCCUUGUCAGGGACAGUGCCUGGCGGGUAGUUCAACUGGGGCGGUUGCCUCCCAAAGAGUAACGGAGGCGCUCAAAGGUCCGCUCAGCCCGGUUGGCAAUCGGGUGUCGAGUGUAAUCGCACAAGCGGGCUUGACUGCGAGGACGACGGUCCGAGCAGGGACGAAAGUCGGAGAUAGUGAUCCGGUGCCGGCGCACGGGCGCGGCAUCGCUCAACGGAUAAAAGGUACCCCGGGGAUAACAGGCUGAUCAUUCCCAAGAGUCCAUAUCGACGGGAUGGUUUGGCACCUCGAUGUCGGCUCGUCGCAUCCUGGGGCUGGAGCAGGUCCCAAGGGUUCGGCUGUUCGCCGAUUAAAGCGGCACGCGAGCUGGGUUCAGAACGUCGUGAGACAGUUUGGUCUCUAUCCUCUGCGCUCGUUGGAAUCCUGAGGAGGCCUGCCCAUAGUACGAGAGGACCUGGGUGGACGAACCUCUGGUAUGCCGGUUGUCGCGCCAGCGGCACGGCCGGUUGGCUACGUUCGGGAGGGAUAACCGCUGAAAGCAUCUAAGCGGGAAGCCUGCUCCAAGAUUAGGAUUCCAUGGAUCUUCGAGAUCCUGUAGCCCGCAUGUUGAACACGUGUUUGAUAGGCCGGAGGUGGAAGUCCCGUGAGGGGUGGAGCCGACCGGUACUAACGGGCGACGGCGACAUAAC